CCGGAAUUAUUGGGCGUAAAGCGCGCGCAGGCGGCUAUUUAAGUCUCAUGUUUAAACCCAAGGCUCAACCUUGGAUCGCAUGGGAAACUGGGGAACUUGAGUGCAGAAGAGGAAAGUGGAAUUCCAAGUGUAGCGGUGAAAUGCGUAGAUAUUUGGAGGAACACCAGUGGCGAAGGCGACUUUCUGGUCUGUAACUGACACUGAGGCGCGAAAGCGUGGGGAGCAAACAG
rnacentral:rRNA from 1 species